GCAGAGAGGAGCGAGCGACUCCUGCGCACGCGCGGAGUGAAGCGCCGGGAACAGCGGAGCGUGUGAGGAAGCCGUUGGGGGAGGACCUCGAGGCGGCCUCUGGGAGCCGACAGGAACACGUGGUCGACCAGAGAGAGACUCCCAUGUGCACGGAGCAGAUGAGGAUGAUGAGCCACUUGAGGCCAGGUCCAGCCAUGGCGUGUAUGCCAGAGCACCUGCGAGAAUGUCUCACGGGCAGUCCGUCUCUCCUGAAUGUGAAGGGAUGAGCACCCACCGUGAGCCACCAUCCGUGUGACCGGCCCGUGACUGCCUCCAGCUCACAGAACCUCUGCACACAAUGGAGAAAGGCCUCCCCUGGGUGAAUGGGGUGGGAAAUGUGUGCCCCUCCAGGCGGCUGGUGAGCAAAGUGCUCCGCUCGGCAGGGUAUGACUUGUUCAGCUCCACCAGGGGCCCUGUGACGAGACAGGCUUCGACCCUGCCCUCUUGCAGCUGGUGUGUACGAUGGGUAGCCCAAUAAAUCAAUAAGCAAA